rnacentral:rRNA from 1 species
UACGUAGGGGGCAAGCGUUGUCCGGAUUUAUUGGGCGUAAAGAGCGGGUAGGCGGUUUGGUAGGUCCGCUGUGAAAACUCGAGGCUCAACCUCGAGACGCCGGUGGAAACCAUCAGGCUAGAGUCCGGAAGAGGAGAGUGGAAUUCCUGGUGUAGCGGUGAAAUGCGCAGAUAUCAGGAAGAACACCCGUGGCUAAGGCGGCUCUCUAGUACGGUACUGACGCUGAGACGCGAAAGCGUGGGGAGCGAACAGG